rnacentral:lncRNA from 1 species
CUAAUUAAUCAAUUUUUUUUUUUAGUAUUUAAUUUUAUUUAUGAAAGGAGUUUUUGAAAUUUAGUUUGGUAAAAGAAAUUAAUAAAAGAAAAAGAAAAAAGAUGAAGAAAAUCUAAGCAAUUGUAAAAAUAAGUUGAAAUCUCAUUCGGUCUCGUGUCAGUGUGAUUCCCAUUUACAAGAUGGUGGUUUUGUUAUUCAUGUUUCGAUCAGGGAUGGGUCGUUAAAUGAAUUGCCACCGUCUUGAGUGGCUGCUUUUAUUAUUUCAAGCGAUAAAUUACCGAGAUGGGUUCCAGAUUAAGGUAAGAAGAAGACCUUUUCAAAAAACAAAAUAUUUUUAUUUCUUGUUUGUUGUUGUGCGAGGAGCAAAGUGCGUGAAAGUCUGACUCGGUCCGUCGUCGUCCAGAAAGUCUGUACAAAUAUUUUCUGCGUUUCUUCCGUGACCACCCCUUCAAUAUGACAACAAUGAAAAAAAAAAAAAAAAAAGGUUGGGUGGUAUUUACUUAUUGAAAUGAAAAACAUGUCUUUCUUUUCCAGUUCACGUUUGCGUGACAUGUAAAUAUAAUAUAAUAUAAUAUAAUAUAAUAUAUGUGGUAAGGCAAUUCGUUGCCAAACCCUUUAUUGCUUAGUAUAUAUAUAUAUAUAUAUAUUGGGUGUGUGUUGAUAUUGUGUAGCCCGAGGUCUCCAAUAAAGCAGAAAUAUGGUCAGACAUUCCAGCCGUGACCAUCCAGUGCCUUUGUAUAUUUAAGACUGUCCAAGGUGUUCUUUCGUUUCAGACUGUAAAGCGUGACUGGAGGAAGAUUUGGCUGCUAUCACUAACAGAUAGUGUAAUUUAAUUGUUCAUUUUGAAUUGAUAAAAGGUGGUUUUUUUCUAUAUAUAUAAAACAUGAAAUUUCUAUUAUAUUUUCUGAUCAGCCCCUACUUUGGGUAGAUAGAUACAUAUUGGGGUACCUGUUUAUAUAUGAUCGAAGCGAUAGGUGUUGGUGACAUUCGUUUCUACUGUAAAAAGAUACUUAAUUGGUGUUCGAAACCGAAUCACCGUUUUCACUUUAGUGAUGGCGAAGAGAUAUUAAAGGUUGAAAACAUUCCGAUAAAAGAAAGCAGAGAAAAAUUGGUCCACACCAUGGGGAAAAAAUGUUUAAGUUCCCACGAAAGUGGAGAUAGUGACUCGGUUUCGAAACCCAUUUAACUCAUUAUUUCACUUUACUCUGUUACAUUUUUGCAGAAGAAACGGCUUACUGAGGAAACUGAUUUUUAAUCUGAUUAUACUAUCUCUCUAUACACACACCAACAACCGAACCGCUAUACUGUCGGACUGCCUGCUAGUGAUAGCAGCCAAAUCUUCCUCCAGUCACGCUUUACAGUCUGAAACGAAAGAACACCUUGGACAGUCUUAAAUAUACAAAGGCACUGGAUGGUCACGGCUGGAAUGUCUGAUCAUAUUUCUGCUUUAUUGGAGACCUCGGGCUACACAAUAUCAACACACCCACCCAAUACUAAUUUAUACAAGUAGUUGUUUGCAAUUCUGUUUAGCCCCAGGUCAGCCCUGGUUGAACUGGGUCUGUAAGCAAAACGUUCGGAGCGUCACUCGUUUUUUAAGUUUUAAUCUAAAACUACAAUACAUAUCUUUUCUUUCCCCACCUUUUUCUGUAAAGAUGUUAGUAGAUUUAGCUGCUAUAUCUAGUAAAUCGAGAGACAGCGCAGCGACUUCCACGUUGGUUCGUUACAAGUGGUUGUUUUAACUGUUUGUUAAAGCAAUUUCCUUCUUUUUAAUUCUUCAGAUUUUUCUUAACUUUUUUAAAACUUUAGCAAAUGACAAUAAAUAUACAGUUAAACGUUGAAAAGACCCAACAUAUGGUUUAGUGAAUUUGAAUUUCCAUAAGGUUUCAAAUAAACUACAAAUACAAGAUUACAGUACUUUUAUUUAUGAGGAACAUUUGAAUUUUAUCUUUAUUUUUAUUGGAAAAAUGAAGAAUCCUAUAGCUUACUUCUGGUAAAUUUUUAUUGUUCCAUCCCUCUAUAAAUUGAUCGACGGACUUUCGGAAUAACUAUCACUGCCUCAUGGAACAGGAAAAGGACAAGGAAUUGGGUGGUUGUUUCCUUCUGUGAAAGAAUUUUUUUGUCCCAAAUUUUUUUUUCAAUUUUACCUCAACUUCCAUUCCGUACCCUUUUCUCGGUAAAUUUUUACUAUUUAAAUCGUCUCAUUAGACGAGUGUAGAGUAAAAAUUUUCCUAAACUUCUUUUAAAAGCUAUUUGUGAUGGCAACACUACUAAAUUGUAUCAAACAAUAUCCUUGUUAAAUGUCUAGUUUAUACAAUAACAUAUGUUUUACUUAUAAAACAUGAUUAGGUAUAUUUGUUUGUUUCAGAAAAUUCAAUGAAGUUCUUGUGUGUUGUGUGAUUUAUGUACUUCUCUGUUAUUUCUGAGUUAACGACAGAAAGCUUCGUCUAAGACACGUCUACGGAUUUGUCCUCUGAUCUGUGUUUUUUUUUUGUUGCUUUUUUACCCCUUUUUCUACCCCGUUAUAGGUUUUGUUGCGAUUGUUAAUUUCCAUUGAUUGUCUCUGAAAAAAAGAGGCAUGCUAUGAAAGACUUUCCAACCAUGAUCGUCUCGUAUUUUCUACAUAUCAUCCAAAAUGUGUUUCUAUUUUUAAGAUAGUAGGGUGUGAAUUGAAAGAAAUUUGGCUGCUAUUUUUGCAUAGGAUCACUUUAGCAGUUGUUAAUAUCUCUCUCUCUCUCUCUCUCUCUCUCUCUCUCUCUCUCUAUAUAUAUAUAUAUAUAUAUAUAUAUAUAUAUAUAAAUACGUAUAUUAACAUCCUAAUAUUUACGAGAACCCCUUCAUUAUUUUGUGAGCUAAGUUCUCUGUGCUACUUUUAUGUUCGGGGCCUGGAACUUGAAAAAACAGUUUUUGAAGAGAUGUCUUGAAUUCUUUAAUCAGUAUCUCAAUCUUUUAUCCACCCAUGUUUCAAGUUCCUCUUCUCCCUCGAGAAUGGUUUUUCUGUAGAACAGAUUGAGUUUUCUUAAUCUUCAACACCUAAUCACGAUUAUUAUUACAAAUAUGCUAAAUUGAUACCGUGCCCAAACACUCGUCGUUGUUUAACGUUAGGAAAUCCUUGAUCAUGCAGGCCUAUGGUUAAAAGCAUUCCACUCAGAACCAUUUGUCUUUUUUUUUUACACUCAGGGUGUAUAAAGUCCUAUUAGGCUGUGCUUUCAUCGAGUAUUCUUUAAGUGGUUGCACGACCUUCAAGAAGUGACAACUAAAUCGCCGUCUUAAACAUGUCAGAACUACAUUGAGUAGUCUUGGAUACGCUAUCCCUGAAAAAAAAAAAAAAAAAAAAAAUUAGAUGGUCAUGGUCACGGCUGGAACGCUUUUGAUCAUUUUUCAGUUCAAUCAAGGUAGACUUUGAGCUAAACUACAAUAAUCAACUAUAAAUCAUCUUAAUGUGUGUAGGUUGGUUCCAGUUGUCACAUCAGGCAGUCAGUCAGGUUAUAUUAUAAGGGUACUGGAGUAACGGCUGUUACACGUCUGAUAAUCAGACCAUUGUAGAGAGUUUGCUUGCUUGUGGAGAGCCAACACUGAUAUACUGAAUAGUUCAACUGUCACAAGUUAGCUCCGGCACCGCCACUCCCCCCACCAUUUGGUGGAGACCGGAACUUUUACAGGAGUUCUUUGCUAGACUAUAUGCAACUUGCUCCAGGCUUGCUCCAUCUGCGUGUAUAAUUAUAUAUAUAUGUGUGUGUGUGUAUAUAUACACAUACAUCUUCCUAAUAUAUAUAUAUAUAUAUAUAUAUAUGUGUGUGUGUGUGUGUGUGUGUGUAUAUAUAUAUAUAUACACACACACACACACACAUACAUCUUCCUAAUAUAUAUAUGUGUGUGUAUGUGUGUAUUCUUUGUAAGUCUAGUACUUAUUCAGUUAUGGGAUGUAAAUACACACACACACAAAUAUGGAUGGGACACACACACACACACACAUAAAUCUGUACGACGGGCUUCUUUCAGUUUACGUCUACCAAAUCUACUCAAAAGACUUUGAAGACACCUACCCAAAGUACCACGCAGUGGGACUGAACCCAGGUACAUGUGGUUGGGAAACAAGCUUCUUGCCACACCUGCACCUAUAAAGCUGCUUUCGCUCACGUAUAUAAUAUUGUGUGCGUGUCUUUAUAGAUAGAUUACAUAAUUUUUUGUAUGUUUUAAGAAACUUGCCUCCCAAUUACAUGGUACCAGGUUCAGUCCCACUGCAUAGCACCUUGGGUAAGUGUCGUCUACUAUAGCCUCAGGUCGAUCAAAGCCUUGUGAUUGGAUUUGGUAGGCGGAAACUGAAAGAAGCCCAUCGUGUGUGUGUGUGUGUAUAUAUAAUAAAUAUAAAUAUAUAUAUAUAUAUAUAUAUAUAUAUAAAUAUAUUUGUGUUUCCUGGUGUGUUGACGUCCCCGUAACUUAGCACUAGUACUAGGCUUACAAAGAAUAAGUCCUAAAGGAGUUAUUCUUUGUAAAGGAAGUGUUCCAGUAUGGCCGCAGUCAAAUGACUGAAAUAGUAAAAGAAUAAAAAGAAUAUAGCAGUGAAGUAUCGGGUUUGAAGGGAGGUGGAAUUGGUAGUUCUUGUGCAAUUAUUAUUAGGAAACAAGAUCUAUAUGAUGAUGGACGUUGACAUUUUGUACCUUUUUGUAUUAUAAAACUUCCCUUUGAGGAAGUAAGAGUGCUUAACACUAUGUAAAGGUAAAAAUUGAUAUAUAUAUAUAUAUAUAUAUAUAUAUAUAUUUACUUAGUGCUUCUUGCGUGUGAAUUGUUUACACCUACUGUUAGUACAUGUAAAGCAGUUUGUGUAUGUAAGUAUAUAAAAUGUACUAAAAGCUAUAAAUAAGAGUGGAGAAUAUUGGGUUCUCUCCGAAUGGAGAAAAUCAAUGGCUACUCUUCAUUAUAGUUAGUACAUUCGUCAUGUUCACAGAUGUAGGGUAUCCCACGGCAAGACUUUUUCCCAUUCAAGGCUUUUUAUAGCUUUAUCCAUCUUGAAUACCUCUGUAAAAAAACCAAAAAAAAACCCCAACAAUUUCAUAUCUGUUGAAAUAUACAAAUUCUCAUAAUGUAAACAUAUAUCUCCUGUGUUCGAUCAACCUGUUGACAUAAUACUAUUUUGACAUGUAUAUAUAUUCUCUUUUAAUUGUUUGUCAUUUUACUGUGGCCAUGCUGGAGCACCGCCUUUAGUCGAACAAAUCGAACUCAGGCCUUAUUCUUCGUAAGCCUAGCACUUAUUCUAUUGGUCUCUUUUGCCGAACCGUAAACACACCAACAUUGGUUGUCAAGCGAUGGAGGGCGGGGGGAGGGGGGGGGGGCAAAAUCAGACAUACUUUUUGUUUUACCGGUUUUGGUCAUGUGACUGUGGCCAUGCUAGAGCACUGCCUUUAGAUGAAGAAAUCGACCACAGCACUUUUUCUUUGUAAGCCAAGUACUUAUUUUUUCGGUUUGUUAUGGUGCAUAAACACAGCAACAUCAGUUGUCGAGUGAUGAUGGGGGUACAAACAAACAUAUACACACACACACAUGUAUAUACAUACAUAUACACAUACAUAUAUAUAUAUAUACAUAAUUGCUGAGUCACUAUCAGAACUAGAGAAGAUUCAGUGUGGAAGCAAGGAUUAGAAUCAAAGGGCCUUAGAGUCAACCUGGCAAAAACCAAAGUCUUAAUAAGUAGGAAGGCAGACAAACCACAAAUCCCUUCAGGUAGUUGGCCCUGCUUGAUCUGUAGAAAAGGCGUAGGUAGAAACUCCAUAAGGUGUACCCAGUGUAAGCUAUGGACACAUAAGAGGUGCAGCAAUAUCAAAGGAAGGCUAACUAGGAAGAUAGUUUUUGUGUGUGGCAAAUGCUCAGGAGCAAUAAACACUGAAAACGUGCAGAGAACAGCUUCUGUCACAUUCCAGGGAGAAAAACUAGAAAUAGUUGAUAGCUUCCAUUACCUAGGUGACCAAGUCAGUAGCGAGGGUGGAUGCUCUGAAACUGUAGCUGCUAGAAUAAGGAUAGCCUGGGCAAAGGUCAGAGAGCUCCUACUUCUGCUGGCAACAAAGGCCUCUUGCUCAGAGUAAAAGGUAGACUAUGAUGCAUGUGUGCGGACAGCUAUGUUACAUGGCAGCGAAACAUAGGCCAUGACUGCUGAGGACAUGCGUAAGCUUACAAGGAAUGAAGCCAGUAUGCUCCGCUGGAUGUGUAAUGUCAGUGUGCAUACACGACAGUGUGUAAGUGCCCUGAGAGAAAAGUUGAACUUAAGAAGCAUCAGAUGUGGUAUGCAAUAAAGAAACAGGCUUAGAAGGACUGGAAGAAUGGUGGUAGCAGGGAAUUGUAUCAGACUGCCUGAAGGAAAGCUAGGAGACAGGUUUAUUUAGCCAGAGGGGAAGCAGAUAAGAAAACAAUUUGCCAAUGUUCUGUGCUGCGAGGACCAAAGACUUGAGAUAUUUCAUGUUGCAAGACAGUGUGUGAAUGAGAAUCGUGAUGUUGUAGGAGAGAAAUGUGUCCUCAUAGAUGAUUGUUCACUUGCACUAAACGAGGCUGCAAAGAGAGAGGUUUGGAGACGCCACUAUGAAAGGUUGCUGAAUAAAGAAAAUGAAUGGGAGAAAGGGAGUCUGCCGAAUGUCGACCCAAGAGAGGGACCAGCUAUCCGAGUUGACAGUACCUUGGUGGAUAAAGUAAUUAAGGGUAUGAAGGUGGCAAGCUGGCAGAAACGUUAGCAUGCCGGGCUAAAUGCGUAGCCAUAUUUCGUCUGUCGUUACGUUGAGUUCAAAUUCCGCCGAGCUCGACUUUGCCUUUCAUCCUUUUGGGGUCGAUAAAUUAAGUACCAGUUACGCACUGGGGUCGAUAUAAUCGACUUAAUACCUAUGUCUGUCCUUGUUUGUCCCCUCUAUAUUUAGCCCCUUGUGGGUAAUAAAGAAAUAGGUAUGAAGACAGGAAAAGCCCCCGGCCCAACAGGAUUCACUGCAGAGAUGCUCAAAAUAUCUGGCGGUGUCGGCUAUAGCUUAGUCACCCAUAUAGUUAACCAGGUGAUACACGAAGGAGUCAUACCCAAUGUUUGGUGUAGCAGCAUAAUAGUCAACUGCUACAAAGAUAAAGAUGACGCUUUAGAUACAAAUAAUUACAGAGGUAUCAAGUUAUUGGAUCAGGUAAUGAAGGUAACGGAGAGGGUCAUAGCCCAACUAAUUAGGGAGAGAGUCAGUUUAGAGGAGAUGCAGUUUGGUUUUGUGCCAGGGAAAAGCACCACUGAUGCUAUAUUUCUGGUAAGACAGCUGCAGGAGAAACACCUGGCCAAAGAUAAACCUCUGUACUUGGCUUUCUUUGACAUGGAGAAAGCUUUUGACAGGGUCCCCCAAUCCUUUAUCUGGUGGUCAAUGAGGAAACUAAGGAUAGAAGAAUGGUUAGUGAGAGCUGUGCAAGCCAUGUACAGGGAUGCUGUCAGUAAGGUGAAGGUUGGCAAUGAGUACAGUGAAGAAUUCCAGGUAGAGGUAGGGGUCCACCAAGGUUCAGUCCUCAGCCCCUUCCUAUUUAUCAUAGUCCUCCAGGCAAUAACAGAAUGCCCCUGGGAGCUCCUUUAUGCUGACGACCUUGCUCUAAUUGCUGAGUCACUGUCAGAACUAGAGAAGUUUCAGACAUGGAAGCAAGGAUUAGAAUCGAAGGGCCUUAGAGUUAAACUAGCUAAAACCAAAGUCCUAAUAAGUAGGAAGGCAGCCAAACCACAAAUCCCUUCAGGUAGAUGGCCCUGCUCGAUCUGUAGAAAAGGCAUAAGUAGAAACUUCAUAAGAUGUAUCCAGUGUAAUCUAUUGACACAUAAGAGGUGCAGCAAUAUCAAAGGGAGGCUAACGGGGAAGAUAGUUUUUGUAUGUGGCAGAUGCUCAGGAGCAAUAAACACUGAAAAUGCGCAGAGAUCAUCUUCCGCUACAUUCCAGGGAGAAAAACUAGAAGUAGUUGAUAGCUUUCGUUACCUAGGGGACCAAGUCAGUAGCGGAGUGGGGUGCGCUGAAAGUGUAGCUGCUAGAAUAAGAAUAGCUUGGGCAAAGUUCAAAGAGCUCUUACCUCUUCUGGUGACAAAGGGCCUCUCGCUCAGAGUAAAAGGCAGACUGUAUGACGCUUGUGUACGAACAGCUAUGCUACAUGGCAGUGAAACAUAGGCUGUGACUGCUGAGGACAUGCGUAAGCUUGCAAGGAAUGAAGUCAGUAUGCUCCGAUGUAUGUAUAAUGUUAGUGUGCAUACUGGACAGAGUGUUAAGUACCUUGACAGAAAAGUUGAACCUAGGAAGCAUCAGAUGUGGUGUGCAAGAGAGACGACUGCGCUGGUAUGGUCAUGUGGUGCGAAUGAAUGAGGAUAGCUGUAUGAAAAAGUGCCACCCGAGCCGCUGAGAGAACCUGUGGAAGAGGUAGACCCACGAAGACCUGGGAUGAGGUGGUGAUGCACGACCUUCGAACAUUAGGUCUCACCGAGGCAAUGAGUAGUGACUGGGACCUUUGAAAAUAUGCUGUGCUUGAGAAGACCCAGCAAGCCAAGUGAGACCAUAACCUCGUGGUCUAUGCCAGAACUGUAACCAGCCCACUUAUACAUACCUUUCCUUCAUUGGACACUAAACUCUGCUUAUGAAGACCUGUUGAGGCAAGUGAAAUCGAAAUCAAAUUUGAUGACUAGCAUCUGUGCUAGUGGAGCGCUAAGAGCACCAUCCGAGCAUGAUCAUUGCCAGAGCAGCUGACUGGCUUCUGUGCUGGUGGUACGUAAAAAGCACCAUUCGAACAUGAGCAUUACCAGCAUUGCUGUACUGGCACUUGUGCCGGUGGCACGUGAAAAAGCAUUUGAGUGAGGUCUUUGCCAAUGCUGUUGGACUGGCUCCUGUGCAGGUAGCACGUAAAAAACACCAUUUGAGCAUGGCCGUUGCCAGUACUGCCUGACUGGCCCUCAUGCCAGUGGCACGUAAAAGCACCUGCUACAUUUUCAAAGUGGUUGGUGUUAGGAAGGGCAUCCAGCUGUAGAAACUCUGCCAGAUCAGAUUGGAGACUGGUGCAGCCAUCUGGUUCACCAGUCCUCAGUCAAAUUGUCCAACCCAUGCCAGCAUGGAAAACGGACAUAUAUAUAUAUAUAUAUAAAUAAAAUGUACUAGCAGAGGUACCUGGCAUUGCUUAGGCGUAAAAUGGCAUAGUUUGUAUAUAAUAUAUUACAGUUAUGUUGAAACAGAUAAUAUGGGUAAGUGCAGCAUUGAUAACAAAGUAUUUGUGGAGUAAAUACUGGGCUAAUUCAACUAAGCAACAUGCUAUGCGUCCAUUUGGAGUAUUUCAGGCCCUAGCCUGUCAUGGAAAAUUGGAGGUGGGGGUUAUGUGGUUUUUGAACGCACCGUAAAGCUCUCAUUGGAUAUACUCUCCUUUGUAGCAGUUGGCGCUGUGUUUAACACAACCCAUCAUUUGAAAUUUUGCCACUUCCGUCAAAAUUCUUUGAUGCCUGUGCGAGAACUGCUAUAUUACAUGGUAGUGAGACAUGAACCAUGACUGCAGAGGUCAUGUGUAGACUGGAGAGGAAUUAAAGUAGUAUGCUCCAUUGCAUAUAAUAUUCAUUUUCCCCUUCUCCAUCUUCUUAGUUUUUUCUUUCUUAAUAUUGUGUGUGUAUACAGCUUUUACCAUCUCGUUUUCUGUGGUCGAUCUAUUCAGUUAUAACUUUCUUUUAUCCACUUGGUACCUGACAUGUUUGACUGAAACACCCAGUCAGUGCCUACCAACUGUUCAAAAAAAAAAAAUGUGAUUACAUGAUUGAAUAACCUUUCAAUUACUGUCAGUUUGUAAAUCUAUAGUAUGUGUGUAUCUUGAGUUUACAGACACAAAUUUAUUUCAUUUCAUAUCUUUUCUUUUCUAAAUUUAUGCAUUUUGUUCUCAUAUGGGUUGUAACUUUAAUUUUUUUUUUAUCUUUGAAAUGAGUUUCUAAUAUAAGAAAAUGAUAGUGGACACAAAAGGCCAACAUACUGCUAUGCCAUCCAAGAUGCAAAAGUGACAAUAAUGCAUCUUGGACGACUACAUAGCAUCAAUGAAUUUUGAAUGUUCUUUCCAUAUGUUCAGAUGAAAAUAUUUCUUUAUAUAUUGUAUAUGUUAGGUUCUAUAAAUGUAUUUGAUGUUUUGUUAAACGAUGAGCUUUUUUAGGUUAUAAGAAUAUCUUUUGCUUGUUAAUGCAUACAAGAAUUAUUGGGUCGCUACCAACUCAGACAAUAUCCUGAGGAUAUAUUCAGAGAUGAGCAGUUAAAAUGUCUUUUAAUAAAUGAAAGUAUACAGUGUAUAUACGUAUACAUUCAGUAAUGCAUAUAUAAGAAUACUUGAAUUAAAUUUUUAGUGGAAUUAGAUAUAUUGAUUUCAAAUUAUGGCACAAGGCCAGCAAUUUCGAAGGAGGGGUAAGUCAGUGACAUCAACCCCAGUGUUACACUGUUACUUAUGUUAUUGACCCUGAAAGGCAAAGAAAACCUCAGUAGAAUUUGAACUCAGAACAUAAAGACAGAUGAAAUGUUGCUAAACAUUUUGCCAGGCAUGCUAACAGUUCUGCCAGCUCACCACCUUAGUGAGAAUAGAUAUAUUAACAUGUCAUUGGGACAGUUUUUCAGUGUAUAGAGAUGUGUAGGGGUCUGUGUGAGGUGAGUUGAUGUAUUUAUAGCAGUGUUGAGUAAGUGUAUGUAAAUUAGUUACUUGAUACUGAGGUUGAGCUACACUUUUCUGAGAAUCACCUUUGUGGAUUGUUUUCUAGAAAAGCCUGUUGAGGCUUUUAUCUGUGAUUGCUUUUUAUCAUUGCCUCAAUAACUGACACAGUUGAUCUAGGUACUCAUAGGAGGCCCAAUAAAGUUUUGAUUAACAGACUCUAUAAAAAAAAGGAAAUAUUGCCAUGCAAGAAAAAGCAAAAAGCAAAAGCACCUAUGCUAAAAGUUGUAGCCCAUUGCUAGGUUGAAAAGUGAUUAGUGAAGUUAGCAUUCAGGUUUCAAACUUUGGUUGAACUUGCUGUUAGAAAAAUGCUUUUUGAUGUGCUUAAAUUGAAAUUGAGUCAGUAUUUUAAAUCUUGUAUAUAACAAAAAAAAAAAAAAAUACUAUAAUAUGAAUGUAUUUAAAUUUAGAGUUAUAACAAAAUAAAGAAAACAAAUCUUUUCUUUUAUUUAUUUAUUUUUACUCUUUAUAUCCUAUUACACUUGAAAAACCUAUUAUAUUUUCACAAUGAAGCUAGUAUUGUUCAGAGCUGUCUCUGAAAAUCACUGCUUUUAUUUAUUUUAUUUUAUUCUUCUCAACAAAAACUGUCAUCCCAGGAUCCAAAAAUGACAGUCUUCCCCACUCCUACCUUUGUCAUAUUUUUUCUUUCCCUCAAAAUGCAUUACUUAACCUCUCCUUCUCUGAAGUACUGCUUCUGUUCUUUACAUAGUAUGUCAUUAUUAUUAUUAAGUGAAAUAUUUCAUUUACAAGUCAUUUUACACUGAGUCUAGACAGAUCUUAUGAAAAGAUAACUAAAAUUAGUUUUCUACAUUCUUUUUUAAUCUUUUAUUUUCAAUUUCAAAGUAGGAAUGAUAGAGUUGUGUAAUUGCAACUGUGACUCCUUUGGGUGAUCAAAACACCACAGAGAAAGAAGGUGUAUUGCAGGAAGCUUUCUGUUGCCUUCUCGUACACUAAUAGUAUUUGAAUUCCACUCUGCAAACUAAUGAAAGUCAGUUCAUGCACACACGCAUUCACUACAUACUUCAGUGAGCUGUACCUGCUCAGGACAGCCGCAAACCAACAAAGAAGCCCAUACAUGUUUGCUUGUAGAGACUGUUUACAUAUAGUUAUGUUUCUCCCUUGGCACCUUAAGCAAGUGUCUUCUACUAUAGCCUUGGGCUGACCAAAGCCUUGUGGGUGGAUUUGGUUGAUGGAAACUGAAAGAAGCCAUUUGUAUUUAUCUAUAUGUCUUUGUGUCUGUCUGUCCCCCACCAGUGCGUGACAACUAGUUCUAGUGUGUUUAUAUCCCCAUAAUCUAGCAGUCCAGCAAUAGACACUGAGAGAAUAAGUACUAGGUUUUUAAAAAAUAAGUACUAGGAUUGAUACAUUCAACUAAAAAUUCAUCGAGGCGGUGCUCCAGUAUUUCUGCAGUCUAAUGACUGAAACAAGUAAAAGAGAAAAAAUAAUGAUAAACAGAAUUUGGUGCUAAAUCAACAUUUUUCUUAAACAAGAGAAAGAAAUUAACUUGAUUUCAAGUAAUAUUGUUCUUUGUUUUUCUUUUUAAAAUUUUAAUUUGGUCUUAGAAGACUUACAAUGGUCACUGGCACCAUUCUUCAGACGAAACCAAAAUAUUUUUAAGAAUCUAUAAAUAAAAGCUUAGUGUGUAAUUUUAAGCUUUUUAACUGGGGUUUUUCAUAAAAACAAAACCUUCCAUUUUGAAAAGACAAAUAAUUUUUUUUUAGAACGUAUUCUUAACUCCACUACCCAUUGUCAUCAUCGUCAUUGUUUAACAUCCACUUUCCAUGGAUCAGAAAGUUUGAGAGCUGGUAAUCCAGAAGGCUGCACCAGGCUCCAAUCUGAUCUGGCAAAGUUUCUACAGCUGGAUGCCCUUCCUAAUGCCAACCACUCCUUAGGAAUGUUUUACAUACCACUGGAACGCAGGCCAGUCAGGCAGUACUGGCAUUGACCAUGCUUGAAUGGUGCUUUUUACAUGUCACUAGCACAGGAGCCUGUCAGGUGGCACUGGCAAUGUCCACACUCGAAUGGUGCUUUUUACGUACUACCAACAUGGAGCCAGUCAGCCAGCACUGGCAUCGACCACACUUGAAUGAUGCGUUUUAUGUGCCACCAGCAUGAGACCAGUCAAGCAGCACUGGCAUCGACCACACGUGAAUGGUGCCUUUUAUGUGCCACCAGCAUGGGUGCCAAUCAGGCAGUACUGUUAUCAACUACAACAAUGACUUCACUUGCCUCAACAGGUCUUUGCAUGCGCAGUUUAUUGCCCAAUGAUUGGAGGGUACUCUUAAAUGGGCUGGUUAUGUUGCACUGGCAUAGGCCAUGGUUACAGUCUCACUUGACUUGCUGGGUCUUCUCAAGCACAGCAUAUCGCCAAAGGUCUCAGUCACUUGUCAUCGCUUCUGUGAGGCCCAAUGUUUGAAGGUUGUGCUUCACCACAUCAUCCCAGAUCUUCAUAUAAUUCAAUAUUUUUAAAAUGGGAGUAGUAUUAGUUUUAUAAAAGAAAUGAUUAAAAUUUUUAUCAACAUAGUUUUUGUGAAACUCCAGAAAUUCUUUUUUUUCUUGGAACUGUAAUAUUCUUCAGAAGCCACACUGAGAAACACUAAUCUGUUGUGUCCUUCUUUUAAGGCAGUAGGGUGUGGCAUGAGAAAAAUAUUUUGUUACUGUUUUUAACAGGGUAAGUGACCAUGUAGAGGCUCUCCUGAUUCAUUAGGCUUUUCUCAUUUGCUUGAGAAGCUGUUCUAAACUGUAUAGCUGUACAUAUAGAUAUAGAGAAUGUAGGCUUAAAGGACUUUGUUCUAACUGAUAAUGGUAGAAAGAGAAGGGUCAGGGUAGAAGCGUGGUUGAUAGUCUUGUGAAGCACAAGAGAUUGGCCUAUCUGCAUACCAGUGUGUGUGUGUAUAAAUAUAUAUAAUUUUAUUUUAGCAUGGUUCCGAAGUCCUUUAGUAAACACACUGAUAUAAAAUGGUAUAUCAGCUAUUUAGAUAAAAACUAGAUGAAUCAUUACUGACUCGUGAGUCAUAGCUUCAUGACUCUACUGUUGUUAUUUUCAGUUUUUUUUUUAGUUCUUGUCUAGCCUAGAGUUUUUCCAUAGGUUCUUAUGGGGCAGGGGCUGUGUGGGUGGACAAAUUACUGUUUCUUAAAUUUAAGAUAGUUUUAAAAUUUUAAGCCUUUUGAUACUAACCUGCUUGAGAUUUGUCCUGAUUCUAUAAAAUUAAAAGCUUCCAUCAAAAUUUCAUGUUCAUUUAUGUUCCAAACACCAGUUUACUAAUGGCACUUAUUUUACUAAAGUUCUUCAUACAUAAGUGGAGAGUAAAAUAAUUUCAGUUUUUUUGUGAGAGAGGAGAAGGGUCUGGUAUUUGUCAUUUUGAGAACUAUGGGAAGGAGGAGAAGUUAGCUUCCUAGCAGCCCUAGUCAAGCUUUCUGUGAUAAGAGUUUUUCUUUUUGCUUUUGUGGCCAUCUUUCUGCAUGUUGGUGACUGACUGCAUUGUCCACUGUAACCUUUUUUAAAAAUUUUAUUUAUGGCAAUAAGGCAGGCAGUUUGGCUGUUAUUUCUAUUAGGUUGAAUAACAAUAUACCUGUUGGGGCUUUUUGUUGUGGAGAAUAGCUACUGGAUCCUUUUGUUCCAAUUACCUAGGAUAGAUAUGCUCUUUAUCCAGAUGUGUGCAUUUACAUUUGCACUCUAUGGAAGUCUUGGACUUUGGUGUUGUCACUUCUGUCAACAAAUCAUCUGCUUGUUUUGCACCUUUUGGUGACAUGUGAAAGAAGAUAACCACUUGAAAAAAAUGAGUUAAGGGAAUGCUGAAUAACAAUGCUUUCAUAAAAAUAUAUUCAUUUAACCCAUGCUAGCAAUGGAAAAUGUACAGAAAACAAAUGAUCUCUCAAGAUUUUGAUCAACAUGAAGUUGUAGUAGAAGACACUCAUCUAAGGUAACACAUAGUUGCAAUCCAAGCUUCUUAAUCAUACAACUACCAUUCUUGUGCAUUAUAGUUAAUAUUUCCUUACUUUUUCUGGCACUAAAGAAAAAAACAAACAAAAAUAUUAUUAAAUUCCUUAGAUUCACCAGAUUUGUAUUUGAAGUGGACUGUUCUUUUGAAAGAACUGUGUGAUAAUUCAGGGUUUUAAAAAGACAACUUUGCCAAGGCUCAUCUUUUGCAAUAGUUCUCUAAUAUAAAGACCCCUCCCCAUCCUGAAAAUGUUGUAAAAACAAUCACUAGUCAUUAGCUCCAUAAUUCAUUGGCACUCUCUUUUUCUUUAUUUUGCAUGUCUCUGUUAACUGCUUUUGAUGAAACCCACUAGAAAUAUAUCUGACCUUUUCACAUGCGUAAAGUAAGUGUGAAAGAGUAGGAAACUUUUUUUCUUUUUCUCCAUGGUGGUGGUUGAGGGAGAAUAAAUAAUGUUAUUAUGUAAACUCUUGAUAAAAAAUUGUUACAAAAUGUCACCUCAAAAACAUUUUCUCCUCGUACUUUAAUUUGUUUGCAUUGUUUCUGGUCCCUCUUUGCAUCUCACUAAUGACAUUAAUGUAGCGAUUAUUAUUAUUCUACAGCUAUUGUACUGCGCAUUUUCUUCUUUCAUACUUCUAACCUGACAUAACCAUUAACACUAUUGGCUUUUAAAUAUGCUCCUCAAAGUCCUAUUUCUCUGUCUGUAAGAGAAUAAAGUUGACCUCCAAAACAUGUAAGCUAUUCUCUCUCUUAGAUGUGGACAGAAGUAAAAUUUAGUAACCUGCCCCUUUCCAUCCUCUCUUGCACCUUGUCUGAAGCAUUUCUCAAAUCUACCAAGAACUGUUACAAUCUGGGGCUACUCCUUUUUUUUCAAAUACAAAAUGUAACUCUUUAAAUGCCUUUUGUAUGUGAUAUUUGUGAAGGCCAGUGCUUCUUCCUAUUGAGUUUUAUGGUAUUAAUGACGAGAGAAAUCUCUUUGCACAUAGAAUGUCAAUCUGUUACUUGUAACAUCUCAAAAUAAUCAUGUGAUUUAAAGUAUGAAGAAUGUGAUUUCAUGUGUAAAUUCUUAACAAAUGCAUGCUUUGAAUUUGAUGUCAAGAUCUGUUAGUUGGUACUACAACAGCUUAUCGAAUUAGCAAUUUUGCCUUUAGCAUUCCCUUUUGUUAAGGGAAGUUAAUUGCUCCAAUCUAACCAGCUGUGAAUGAGUACCAUCUGACAGUUGGUGCACUGCUGUCUCCUUCCAUCUAUCACCUUCUGCAUGUUUUAUUGAGCCAAAGUUAGAACGACGAACAGAAUGUCUAUUUCUGCGCAGUAAAACAAUAAGCAAAAGCAUGGUACAAGUGUCUGGUCAUACUUGCACAUGAGUGACAAUCUUGUAUUUAUUUUUUUUGCACUUUUUAUAGUGCUUUUGAUUUAUGGGAUAUGUUAUUUUUAUGCUCAUGCACUACUUUUAAGAUAAAUUGUUAUAGAAGUCAGCUUCUGUUGUAUUCUAUUACUCCAAGCACUCCUCGGAACUCUUGCAUAAAAUGUGAUGACUUGAUUUCUCACAUAAUGAUGCUAGAUAUAUAUUUACUUACAGACUGCUCAUUUUUUCCCCUUGAAUUCUGGAUAAUGAAAUUUUUAAAAAGAAGUAUUUCUAGAAAGUCUCUUUAGUUACUACAUUUAUGAUGAAAUAUAUAGUGCUGUUGUUUCAAUUUUGAAAAUAAUGAAUUUGUAGCUGGUGUUUGGAAUAUAAAUUAACAUGGAGCUUCAAUGCAAAGUUCUGAUUCCCUUUAAAACAGUGGCUAACAAAACCAAGGAUGGUUUUGUUAACCGCAACCAUAACUUGAAAGGUAAAAAAAGAAAACAACAACAAAAACAAACAAAAAAGGGUGACUCAAAUUCUAGAUGUUAUUUUCAUUAUAAAACUUAUGUAACUUAUAUGUAUGCUUUACAAAUGUCAGAACAAAUAUAUUACAAUGAGUUAGUUACACUCAAUGAAACAUAAAAAGUCUUGACCUUUUUUUUUUUUUUACUGUUCUUUAAGCCAACAAAUUUUAUAUACACUCUGAUUGGGUGUAUAUACUUGGAUAUAAUCCAACCAGGUUAUAAAAUGUCUCUAUGUACAUGUAAACCAACAAGGUUUUAAAGUGUUUCUUUAUGUGUCAUGGAAUUCUUUCUUACACAUUUCUUUCUAGAAAUAUCUUUAUAUAUGUAUGUAUAAAUAUUUUACAAUUUUCUUAGAAAUCCUAUGCAUUUCUUAGAAAGAGGUUGUUGAGUGCCAUUUUCAAUUGGGUGUUUCCACACAGGUGCUGUUACUUUAUUUAAAUUAACUUUCUUUUGUAUCUAGAUUUUAGUUUUUGCUGAAAUAAGUAUAUAUAUACUUUGUUUCAGCAGUGGUAGUCAAAUGAUUUGAGACCAACCAACUUAUUUCAUUCAUAUGUACAACCAUUGCUUCUACUUUUUGGCACAAGUAUCUUUUACUUUGGCCCCAGCCUGAUCAAAGUCUUGUGGGUAGAUUUGGUAGCCAGAAAAUGAAAGAAGCCCAUCAUGUAUGUUUGUUUGUACCUCCUUGUUUUGACAUCAUACAGUAGUUGUAAAUGGGUGUUACUGUCAGUGUCAUUCUAAUAUUCUGCAAAAAUUUAUCUGGCAAUGGGGAAACAUUACCUUCCUUGGAAACAAGGUCAGUGACAGGAAGGGCAUCUGACCAUAGAAAUUCUGCCUUAACCCUUUCGUUACUAAACCGCCCGAAAAAAAUUUUGGUUAAUGUGACCAAACCCGCCCGUAUUUACCUAUUCAUAUUUAAAUGAGAAUAUCAGAGCAAAUUUCUUUAGUACAUUCGUGAAAACACGUAUUAUACUUUGUAAACAGUUCAGCUACAGUUUUGUACAAAAAUCGAAGUGUAAUUUUAAUUCCGUGAAUUUUGGGAGAUUUUUUUCCGAAAUUUGUUCCUAUUGUGUUUUCAAAAUUUGUAAUUCUGAUAAAAAAUGGAUACGAAUUUCAUUAUAUCAAGCAGCGAGUCAGAAUUCGAAGGAUUUUCUACUGAAGACCUUCAUAAAUCUAACUCUAUGACUGAAAAAAAAAAGCACGUGGUAUUUGAUAAUGAAUCUGAUGUUUCAUUUUCCGAAAGUGAAAACAGUGAAUCCGAGAGCUCCAACAGCGAUAAAGAAAAUGAAUUGGCACCUGAAUGGAGUGAAAAUUAAAAAACUGUUUCUUUCGGUGAUUUUUCUGAAGAAACUGGACCAAGCCACAGACUUUCCCAGAAGAGUAAAGCCUUAGACUAUUUCUUUUUACUUUUUCGAAUGAGCCUAUUUGAAAUCAUUACGGCAGAAAUGAACUGUUACGCUAAAUGUAAACAAAACGAAAGAAAGGAUAGUUAGUGGUUUCCCAUAACCUUAAAUGAAAUUAAGACUAUUUUGCCAUAAAUAUUAUUAUGGGUAUCAGAAAGUUACCCAGAAUAACAAAUUCUAUCGUAAAAUUUUGUUGUAUACCCAAUUGAAUAUUAGCUAAUAACCCAUUUUCUAUAGCGAUGUUUGAACAAAAUUUUAAUAAUUUUAUAUUUUGUUGAAUUUACCUGUAUCUACCUGCAAUUAGAGUCAGUUUGUGACAAAAUUAUAGUAUAGAAUUGGUUGAGAACAUUUCAUUAAAUUAUCUUCCAAAAUUCACGUUAAUAUAUUGAUAAAUAAAAAAGUUAUAGUUGUUUAAUGAAGCCAGACUAAAUUUAUGAUUAUGUUAGAAAUUAAUUGAAACACAUAAGGGGUGUAUUUUGGUCAGAAAUAUAGUAACGAAAGGGUUAACAAAUUCUAUCCAAUCCAUAGAAAAGUGGACAUUCAAAAAAUGUUGAGCCAACACAAAAAUUUCUAUGUUGUCAUUUGAAAACUAGAAAUAACAGUCAGUCUUCCCUCAAAUCACAUCUUACAACCUUCGAAGAGGGACAACAUAUUGGAUGUUGAUGAAGUUCUGAAUAAAAGAGGGGCUAGUCAUUGUAAAAAAAUGACCCUUCACAGAUCUGCUUCAGUGAGGGUGGCCCUAGAACCAAACCAGCAAAAAGAAAUACUUUUUUAGCUUUUUGAAAACUCUGUUGAACAUGCCAUAUACUGUGUGAGAUAUGUUAUAAUAUGGCUUCUAAUUUUGGUACAAGUUUUGAGGGUGUGUGGGUGGAGGCAAGUUGAUUAUAUAGACUCCAGUGCUCAGCUAGUACUAUUGACCCCCAUGGAAGGGCAAAAAAUAAAGUCUGUCUUCGUGAAAUUUGAACUCAGAAUAUAAAGACCUAGAAGAAACGCUAAGUAUUUUGCCUAAUGUAGUAAGGAUUCUUAUUUCUUUAUUGCCCACAAGGAGCUAAACAUAGAGGGGACAAACAAGGACAGACAAAGGAAUUAAGUCGAUUACAUCGACCUCAGUGCAUAACUGGUACUUAAUUUAUCGACCCCGAAAGAAUGAAAGGCAAGGUUGACCUUGGCAGAAUUUGAACUCAGAACGUAAUGGCUGACAAAAUACUGCUAAGCAUUUCGCCCAGCAUGCUAACGAUUCUACUAUCUUGCUGCCUUAGUAUGCGUUAUAUGAAAUGCUCCCCUGCCACACUGCCCCCCCAAAAUCAAGAUGCCAUAUAAAUUUGUUUACAAGCACUUAGGUACAUACAGUUUUUUUUUUCCUCCCAGCUAUCGAUGUCUUUAUGACAGUGGUACAAAAUACAAAAAACUGGCCAAGUUCAGAAAAUGUUACUUUUUACUUUUCAUCCUUUUCAACAUUUGUUAAGAUUAGGUUGGAUAUUUCUUUCCUUACAGGUUGAAGAGGAGCACAUUUCAACAUUGCCUAACGUGGCCCUUUUUUUUUUUAUAUAAUAAAAGGUAAUUUUGAAUGUUCAUGAGAGUUUUACAUUCAAUUAAUAUUUGUCAUUAUCUGCAAAUGUAAUAGGAAGUUGAUUUGCUGUUGAAGUUGAAAUAUAAAAGCAGAAACAGCAGUUGUUAUGUCUGAAACGACAAUGAUGAUGAUAGUUGAUACAGAAACAACUACAAUGGCAAGAAUAAUUCAGAGUAAUGGUAGAAUAAUGAUCAUAACAUAUAAUAGGAGUCUGUAAUAAUAAUAAUAAAAUAGCAAGAUGUAAUAACAGUAACAACUUGCUACAACAGCAGUGGUAACAGGUUGUGACAUCGGAGGCAAUGUGUAACAACUGGUAACAUACUAUGUCAGCUGAGAUAUCCUGCUGCCUUGGCAUGUUGUCAUCAUAAUAUGUAAUAAUGACAUGUCCAAACUGCAAUAACAACAUGCUGUGAUAAUGUGUAAUAACUUAAUUAUAUUGGCAGUUGUAAAACCAAAUGUCCAAUUUGCAUUAAUUUUAAGGAGCAGAGUUCAGCAGUUAAUGUGAAUUUCAUUAUCAGGCGAAGGAUUGUAAAGAAGAGGUUGAUUCCCUUUCAAAUAAAGUAUUGGGUAGAACAUUGGUUCCCUAAGUGGGUGGUACUGCCCCCUUGAGGGCAGUGGAAAGAUCCAAGGGGCGUUGAAGAAAAGUGAGCUGAUAAUGGGAUGGCCAAAAGGGAGCAAUAGAUGUAAAAGUAACAAAAUAAGGGGCUAAUUGGGUUAAGUUUCAUUUGUGAAAUACAGGUUUUUUGAAUUUGCUGCAGAAAGUGGUCUCUCUUCGUAGUGGUGAGUGAGGGGGAGGCUAGGAAUGUGACCUGGGUCCCAAGAGGAUGGCAGCCCGAAAAGUUUGGCAACCACUCAGUUAGUGUGUUUAAAAGUAAGAAUUAGCACUUGUUAUAUGGAAUAAACUACUAGAAUUAAAUUUGCUUCAAAUUACACUUUGCUGUCCAUUUUCUUUUUUUAAAGUACAUAUUAGAUAAUGUAGUCAUUGAACAUUUUUGGUUAUAGAUCAAGUCAGUCAAGGCUGUUCUGAAAAGAGCAUCAUGGAUCUAGAACCAAGUAUCUCUCAUUUUGCCAAUGACUACAUUACUAAUUACACCACAGUGAUAGAUAUGUUGUUUGAGAGAUAAUAAUGAAUCUGUUACUUUUUUCUGUCUCAAAUUAUUCUAAUCAUCAUCAUCAUCAUCAUUUUAUUGUCUACUUUUCUAUUCUUGCAUGGGCCAGAUAGAAUUCAUUGAAGUGGACUUUCUUCCGUUAGAUGCCCAUCCUGUUGUCAGCCCUUGAUUUUCUAAGUAAAGUAAUAUUUCCCCGUGACCAAAUAUGCUUUCAUGGAAGAUUGGAAACAAAUGAAACUGCUUGUAUGACAAUUGUUUGCACCUAUCACUCAGUGCCAAGAUAAAGAGACACACACACACUCACACUCUCUUAUACCUACACAUACAUGUGUUUAUACAUGUAUGACAUGCUUUUCUCAGUUUCUUUCUACCAAAUCUAUUCAAUGCAUUGGUUGCCCUGAAGCAAUAAUAGAAGACACUCACUCCAGAUGCCAUGCAAUGAGACUGAACCUGAAACUGAGUGGUUGCAAAGCAAACUCCUCAAUCACGGAGCCUGUUGUUUAUUAUGUCUCAUGUUGGAGGUGUUUACAUUUGACAGGAUUCACUGACCCACAGAACUGUGGGUCAGAUUUCAGUGUCUGCUCUGGCAUGGUUGCUGAGGCUGGAUACCCUUCCUAAUGCUAGACACUUUACACUGUGUACUGAGUACUUUCUUUGUGACAUUAGUUCCCUCUCUCUCUUUCGGAGAGGCACUGAGCACAUAAACACACACGGCAGUAACUUCCACCUACCGAGUUCAAUCACAAAGCUUCGGUCGACUCGGGGCUAUAGUGGAAGACACCUGCCCAAAGUGCUACGCGGUGGUUCAUUUAAAUCAAACAAAUCUGAGUGGGAUGUUUCUGUUACUGAUUGCAUAAUUGUAAUCUAUGGACUAUUGUUAGGCUUAGCUUUAUGUAGUUGUAGCUAGCCAGUUCAAUAUGGAGCUGAACUAAUAGCUGAAGAGUUUGACAUGUCCUGUCCCUAGCUACAAUGUUCUUUGUUGCUAAAAUAUAUAACUCUCAUAGUUCUGCUAUGCAGUUGAUAUAAAAAAAUAUUCUCCUCCAAAAUCUAAAGUUCUGUGUCAAUUAUCCAAUGCUUAUCAAUACAUAGUUGUCAUAUUUAUGUAGUCUUGUCAGGACAUGCUCCAACCAUGAUGAAGUCAGUCCUCAUAGGAAGGCCUCUGCUUGGUCAAUCAACCCACUAAGGAUAGCUGCCCGACUUUCCUCAAAUCACACCCUAACUUCUUACAAAAGGACAUUGGAUAAUUUGGUCCUAAAUGCAUUAUGCCUGAAAGUAAGAUGUGAUGGUCAUUACUGAAAUACUUUUUCUUAAGGAGAUCGUGGAGUCAGAGCUGACUUGAGACCUAAACAACAAUAGCUUUGCCGUGGCCCUCAUAAUUAUGCAAUUAUUUUGGAUACAAAGAAGACAACAGAUGAAACACAUGGAGAUGUUAUAUCAGAGAGGACAAAUGUGUGUGUGUGUCAAUAUUUAUAUCUGUGUUGACACGAGGGAGUAUGCAUUAAGUAAUAUCUAUGGACUAUAGGGAAUUAAUUCUUUAUUAUGAAUUGAUAUGGACUGUAGAGAAUUCAUUUCUUAGUGUAUAUCUACUCCAUACAAUUAAGCCACACUAAGUAUGUACUUGUGGUUUUAUUUUUAAGUAUCUUUUGCAUUUUCUUUAACACAAGUAAUUGUGAGGUUUAGGUGUGUGGAUGGAUAUAUCUUGAAGGAAAGCUGUAUUUUAUUUGCUUCCACUAAUUAAAAGCUUGCCUCUUUAUCUCCUGUCUAAAUAGCAAGUAAUUUUCUAUUUAAUGCAUUGAUUUCCUUCUUUCUCGCUUUGUAUAUCUAUUGUUUAUUAUGCAUGUAAUCUUGUUAGCAAGUCUAAUAUUGCUGACUGAACUCUGUUGAAACUUAAUUCUCAACUAAAACAAGUAAGGAACGUGUUGCCCAAAUAACUAACUACGCUUGCUCAUUAUCACUGUUAGUAUUUUAUUUAUUAUUUUACUUGGCAUUUUCUGUAGAGCUAAAGUGAUUUUAUUCCCACUGAAACCUCAUUGUGUGUGUGUCUGUGUGUUUUUCCGUGGUUGUAUCAAAUGGAUCUUUUUUUUUGCUUUGUCUUUUUUUAUUUGUUGUUGUUGGGAGCACUUACUUUUGUGGCUGAAUUUUGUAUUUGUCUUUUAUUUAUUUAUUAUUAUUUUUUUUUUACCUUACUAGCAAUCCAAAGUGCGGUAGGAGUGGAACCUGUUUUUGUAAUUCAGACAAACUGGAAUGAGACACUUAUAUAGUAAUGUCUUGAUCAGGAGCACAUACAAAAAAAAACAAAACUAAGAUUUGAAUUCUUUAUUUGCUUGUCAGUAGUCCAGUUCCUAACAUCCCUGUUUCUCUGUAACCCCUCUCUCAUUCAUCAUUUUAUAUAUAUAUAUAUAUAUAUAUAUUAUAUUAAAUUAGAGAUAAAACCACUAUUAGGCAAAUCAAACAGUGAAAUUAGCUAUUUCAUCUUUAAAUAUGAAAAAUUAAUUUAUUAGGUCUUUAUUAUAUGUGCAUAUAUAUUUAUUUAUAGAGAUUAUUUUAGAUCUUAAUUAUAAUAUUUAUAUACAUUUAUAUAUUUUCAAUGAUAAUUUAUAUAUAAUAGUAAUUUUUUUAAAAAAAAUAUUUAUGUAAUUAGAUAUAGACUAUUACCGAUAUUAGAUUAUUGGUGGAUUUCUUACCUUAUAAAUUAAAAUUAAUAUUUAACAUUAUAAUCGAUUUUGAUAUAAUCAUAAUUGUUAAGUUUUAAGUUUCUAGUUUGAUGAUAGUUUAUUAUAAGUAAAAUUAUUAUAUUAUUUAUAUCUUAAAAAUAUUGUUUAAAUAUUUCUGUUUAUUUAUAAAAUAUUUCAAUUAACCUGAAGAUUAACUGUAACCAUAACUCAAAUUAUUAAUUGAAUUUAAAUUAUUGUUAUUCGAAUUGGUACAGCCAUGAAACGAUCGUAGUGUUUUACUCUUUAUCUUUUAUUAAACUUUUAAUACUUUUGAUAUUUAAUAAAAAAAAUUAAUUAAUUAAUUAAUUAAUAAAAUAAUAUAUAAAUAUAAAAAUAUACAUACAUACAUAUAUAUAUAUAUAUAUAUAUAUAUAUAUAUAUUAGUAUAUAUAUAUAAAAUUUAUAAGUUUAAUUAUUUAAAUAAUUUUUUAUUUUUACUUUUAUAUUUUAAAAUUAAUUUUAUGUAUUGGCUUAUGUUUUUCACUGUUUGAUUUGCCUAAUAGUGGUUUUAUCUCUAAUUUAAUUUUUCCCUGUAUGUUUGGAUUUAUUCCCUAAUAUCAUUAUUAUAUAUAUAUAUAUAUAUGAUGGUGACACUGAACGAACUGGGUGUUUUCACAUCUUUUUACCAUAAGAGAGAUUUUUCUACAUGGUAACUGCAGUGUAUUUGCCUUUUAGCAGUUGAAAUACGUAAAAAACAUAUUUCAACUAACUUUAUAUAUAUAUGUAUGUGUGUGUGUGUGUGUGUGUAUAUAUAUAUAUAUAUAUAUAUAUAUAUAUAUAUACACACACACACACUAGCUAAGUAUUCAGUGUUGCUUGGAAGAAUGUUGAAGAAAAUAAAUAUAUUUAUUCUGAAAACAAAAAAAAUAUUUUCAGGAAAACUCUAUCAGAUAACAUGAGUAUAAACAAAGUUAUUAAAACAAAUCUUGAAAUCAGUCACAGUUUAAUUUUGUAGGGCUUCUAAAUAUACAAUGUUUUCAGUGUGUCCUUUAAUUGGGGUAUAAAUAAAAAGUCCCAAAACUAGGAUUUCCAACUUGGAAUAUCCUACAUAACAUUGCUUCUCUUAUGGGCAAUUAUAAAUCCAAGAACCUUGAGAGAAUGUCCUUGAGAUUUGUUUAUUGACAGCAAAACUUAGUUUCAUUGGAAACUGGAGUUGUUUAAAUCCAGGGGAGGUCAGAUGGGAUUAACGGGAUCCGUGGAAUGAAGACAUCCUCACCCUUAGAUUUUCCGGUGAUAAUUGCUGUUUCUAGGACAUGGGGUUGCAUUGCUUUCACCACCAGACUGGUGCCAUUGCACAGGCGAGGUGGAUCCAAGUUCCUGAGCAGCAUGAUAGGGGCCCCCCUUUUUAAGUGUUGUGUGGUGCAUCCCAGUUGGCUGUAGAGAGUUCAGGAAGUCAGCUGGAAAAACUACAGUAUCGAUGAAUUUGAAAGAUUGUUCUUAUCCUGGUAACAGCUGCAAGAGAUCCCAAUUGAUUUUGUUGACAGCAUCAUUAUGUGGGGCUAAGAUGGCUCGCUCACGUAGUCAUUAACUGUUGCUAAAGUUUUGUACAGUUUUUGGAAACACACAUUUUAAGAUCAUUGACAGUUGGUACCAUCUCACCACAGGGUAGCUUGUGUUAUUGUUGCAAUUCUCCAUAUAAAUGAUAGCAAAGUGUAUAUCAAAUGAAAUGAAAACCCUGGUUCAAUAACAUUUUUGGUAACAACAUAUUCCCUCUUCUAAUUAAAUGUUGAAAAAGAGAGAAAAUGCCACCCUCUCUUUUGCAAGAGAAAUUAAGUUAGCUUGGCUCGUGUAGGGUGCAUGACAUUGCAUCUAACCCUUUCCAAUGUCUAAUAUGUACAUGUGUGACCUUUAUGGAGGUUGAGUAAUAAGAGGGUUAAGGGAGAUGCUCGAGAGAGGGGGAGAUUGGAAUGGUAGGGGAGAGGUUUCUCAACCCUCCCUUCCUCUUUACCCAGUGGUAUAGCUGAGAAGGGUAUAGAAGGGGGCUGUAGUUCUUGAGGUGGGGUGUAGUUCUUGAGCUAUAUCCAAGAAUAAAUACAUCAUCUUUAAAUGUGAAAUAUCAAGUGUUAAAAAGGUGAACUGUCUCAAAAAUAUCCAAAAUAUGUGUUGGAAAUUUAUCAAGAUAUAACAUUUUAUAAUCCCUAUCCAAGUAGAAAUAGUCACUUUGGAUUUAAAUAUGAAAUAUUUAAGCGUACUCUAGCUAAUUUUAUUUAGUCCAUUCUGUGAAUAAUUAUUUGAAUAACUCCUGUCCAUAUCUCUAACUUAUGUUACUGGAAUAUUGAACUUUAAAAUUUACAAAGUUUAUCGUAUAAAUUGAAAGAUAUCCUACAGUGUAUAUUGCUUAAAGGACUGAAUGAAUGAAUGACUUAAUCAAUGUAAUAAGUUUUCACUGGGCAUGUGUCCAUAUGAAGACCUUUCGUUAUUUAGAAACCUUACUGUUUUUUUUCUUCUGAAAAUUACAUAUGUUGUGUGUAACAUCAAAUUUUAAGUUUUACAUUAUAGUAAUUCUAGUUCUUCAUGGAGGACCCCUGUGACUGCAGGGGUUGCAGGAGCUUAGCACUGGCCCUGCUGUAAGUGAAUUUAUGGUAUAGGGUUACAGUUAGGAUUAGUAUUUAGUGAAUAUAGUGUUAUUGUAAAUAUUUCCCAAAUUUUUUAUCCAGUCACAAUUAUGUUUUUCAGCAACCAACCUUUGUGUGAAAGUGUUGGUGUGAAUGCACGCAUGACAGGACCAUACACAAAAAUUUUGUUUCAGAAAAGUACUUCUUACAUACCUUGCUGUCAAUUCAUUGGAUUAAUCCCCAAGUUUAGUCACUGGUUCAGCACUUAUGUUUGUGUUCUUCAUUCCAAAAUAAUAAAAACUUAAACAUACUUCCAAAAUGGGACUUCGUCCAUGUGUAUCCACAUGCAUAUACGGGCAGGUGUGUGGAGGUGGGGAUUAGUGUGCAAGGAAAACAUUUCUGGAAAUGUACUCGUACAAAUUCUUUUAAAAUAAGUUAUCUUCAUAUGCCAUGUUUGUAAUUCUCCUGUAAAUGAUAGCAAAGUGUCUAUCAAAUGAAAUUAAAAUCCUGGUUCAGAGACAGAUUGACGAAGUUAGUAAAGUUUUAACGUUUUUGGUAGCAACAUAUUCUCUCUUCUAAUCAAAUAUUGAGAAACAGAAAAAAAUGCCACCCUCUCUUUUGCAAGAGAAAUUAAUUUUGGCAGCAAGGACUAAACCCCUUGUUUCAUUAUCACAAUUAAAAAGUAUUUAUCUUUACUUUAAAAAAAAGAAAUGGGGGUCAUAGAUGUACGAUGGAGAAGUAUUCAAUAUCGUGUUUGCUUCCAUCAGAAUCAUUUACCUUUAAAGUGAGAAACAAAACCAACGUAUAUGACAAGUAUCAUCAUCAUCAUUUAACAAGUAUCAUCAUCAUCAAUUACACAGGACUUGAAUUUUUUUGUUUGAUACACCAAAUUGGUGUAUCAAACAAAAAAAUUCAAGUCCUGUGUAAUUGAGUCUGAAAAUAACCACAUUCUUUCUGACUGAUUUCUGUUGUUAGACAGUGGCCAUGCUGGGGUCACACUUUUAAGAGUUUCAAUUCAUUAUUUCGACCUUAACAUUUUUUCUCAAUCUAAUUUUGUUGAUCCUUUCUGAGAGUAAGUCAACCUGAACAUAAAGGGAUCUAAGUAAAUAUGAAUAUCAGAAAUAUUUUGUGCUUGAUGCUCUACCAAUUUUGCCAUCCUUUCCUGGCCUGCAUGUAUUUAUGCAUACAUAUAUGUAUGUAUAUGUGUGUGUGUGUAUGCAUGCAUGCAUAGAUCUGUCUAUUUAUUUAUUUGUUUGUCUGUCUCUCUGCAUAAGACAGGCUUCCAUGUCCCUCAUGUUUCACCUUAAGUUGACCUGAGGGUUAGGUAGUAGACAUUUGGACAAUAUACUUGCAAUAAGAUUGAACUUACAUGAAUGUGGAAUGGAAUACUCAACCACUUACCUAGGUCUGAAAUUUAAAUUUAUAUUUUAUUUGUUUAUUGUUGAAAUGAGAUUUCAUAAAAUGUCAGGAGUUAAUCUAAUUUUUUUUCUCUAAAUGUUAACUUAGGGCUCACCAAGCAACUUCAUAUGAUUACAUAAGAAAAAAAAACAAACAAACAAACAUUGUUUUUGUUAUUUGAAGUUCAGAAUGGCUAAGAAUUAAUUUAAGAAGGAUUAGAGUUAAGGCUGACAAAGCAAACAAAAACUUAUAAAACAUACAACAAAGCAGCAGGAAAAAUCUUGAUAAUAAUAAUGUCAUUUACAAGAGAAAAUGAAAGGAAGUUUAACUAUAAAAGAAAAGGUUUUUCAAGCUGCCAGUAGAGGGGGGAAAAUAUGAGGGGAAACCAAUGAGAAGUGCAGUGAUUUACAAUGAAAAUAUUAUAAAUGAAUCUGUUGCUUGGAUUUAUUGUAGCAGUGUUGUUGGAAUGAGUUAUUGGUUAAUUUGCAGAAGGCAAACAGUUAAACCUGGUUUAUUGUUGCUGCUCAGGUCAUACGAUGUUGGUCAUGCAUUAAAAAUAUAUACAUGUAGCAUCAGCAUGAUGAAAGAAAUCUAAUGCAAUAUGCAAAAUAACUGGAUAUCAAAAUUUACCACUGGGACUGGAUUAAACACAAGGAAUGAAUAUACAUGCACUGCUUCAUUAUCUUCCACAAUUGCAUAUUGGUUAAGUAUGUUAGGAUGACUAAGAGUGUGUAUUUCAUACUGUGACCAAGGACAUACUGGAGUUGGCACUGAAAAGGUCUCUAUUUAUUGACUAUGUUCAGUGGACCUUCUAUAACACUUUAAAGAAGCUGUCAUGUGAACAUCAACCACUGACUGGACAAUAACUUGGUUGCACAUCUGAUCAAGCUGUGGCUUGAUAAUCCACCAUGUGGUGAGUUCAAGUCCUGCUAAAAAUACAAAUGUUGUUAGGUCAACUCUAAUCAAGUAAAUCUGUAAUGAACACCAGCCAACAUCAUUCCAUCUUUUUUUUAGGUUAACUAGGACUACAUUAUCUAAUAUGUCUUUGACUUUCUUGAGAUGAUAUUUUAGGUAGAUUUGGUUGCUAUUUCUAGCAGAUGGAGUGACUAUAUAAAAGUUCCCCCAUUGGCUUGUGACUUAAAGUGUGUUGUAUAAGUAGAUGCAUUUCUGCUAAUUUUGACGAUCUUGUUUUGAUCAACUGAACUACCUGAUCAUUGACUUAGUAUGGAUGUGGCUGAGUAUUCCACUGGCCCACAUGUUUCUCUUAAUGAAAUUAUCAAGCAGAAUCAGUGUGACAGUCUUAGACAAGGCUGACUUUUUUAAUUAUAGGUACAAGCCAUCCAACAAGUUUCUAUCAAUCCACUUUGUCAAUUUUGGAUAAGUGUGUAUGGUACAGGAAGGAGAGGAAUUUGUCAUUUGAAGUUGUACUUUAGUUUUUGGAGAUAUAUGAGGUUUCACUUUUGAGUUGUUUUUCUUUUUCUUCUCUAACAGAAGCAUGGAUUCCCUACAACAGACAUAAAGACACCUGAAAACCUUUCACAUGUGCUGUCGGCACAAUAAAAGAUCAAUUGAGGAAUGAUUAUGGUAAAUGCCAGUAUUCUCCUAAAAUCAUCAUCAUUUAGCGUCCGUUUAAAUGAUGAGGAUUUUAGGAGAAUACUCCUAAAAUAGUUAUACAAAUUCAAAUUAAUGGGUAAAGCUGGCCAUCAUAGGUAGAAUUCAAGAUGAGAUAACAAGGCAGGAAAAAGAAAUGUAUAGAUAGUGUCUUAGAGCUGUUUCAAGAAUAAGUGUGCAGACAAUUCAUUUCCCUGCUGACUACCGGGAGCCAACAUUAUAGUUGUGAUCUAUUCUAGAAUGAGAUAUUACUUUAAUAGGAAGUAGUGAUAUGCUAGUAGUGGAAGGUGAAUCUAACCCUUUAGCAUUCAAAUUAUCGUCAAAUGCAAUGCUUAUUUAUUCACAUUGUUUUAAAUUAAUCAUGCAUAAUUUUGUGGCUUCAAGAUUUUCAUGAUGUGAAUAUGAUUUAGAAUAGCAUUGUAGAAUAGGUAUAAGGGUAAGAUCUGGUCAAUUUGGACAUAAAGCAGAUAGAAUAUUUUGGCUGGAUAUGGUCAGUUUAAAUGCUAAGAGUCAAAAGAAUAGAGGCAGAAAAUACAAGUUCAUAAUAAUAGGAAGAUAGAUAGAAACUAACAAAUGGCAAGAUUAGAUAUCAAAUGUCAAAAGUUUAGAAAAAUGUGAUAGCUCUGAUAUCAAAAGCAUGCAGCUGAGAAUUCUGUGCAGUUGGGCAGGACAUGUUGUUCAAAUGCAAAAUGAUCGCAUUCUGAAAAUUCUUUUGUAUGACCAACAAGUAGGAGUCUGCAGCAAAGAAAGGCUCUUCCCUUUGUAUAAGGAUAUGUUGAAAUAAUCAGUAAAAUCUCCACAGCUUAAUUUAACAUCUUGGCAAAGUUAUUGCUUAGAUUUAUCUGAAUGGCGUAAUAUUUCAUGAUUCAUUUGAAACAAUUUGAGUUGAAGAAACAGAACAAUCAAAGAAUUACAUCCUGCAGCCAACAGAUACAUUUGUCCAAUCCCUGGCAAAAUGGAAGUUAUCAUUGUCCCCAUUGUGAGUUCACUGCAAAAUCCAUACCUGGAUUCAAAUUACAUUCAUGUAUCCAUUGCAAAUGGAUGCAGCUUCUUGUAUUUUUAACCUUUUUUUGUUUCUAUUUUUUAAUCCUUUCCUUCAUACACUCGUACAUCAAAAUCAAUGGGAGUGACCUUCGUUAUUAUUUUUCAGCAGACAAAAUGCCUAGCGAUAUUUCUUCUGACUUGUUACCAUCUGAAUUUAAAUUCUACUGGAGUCAACUUUGCUUUUCAUCUCUCCAGGCUCAGUAAAAUAAAGCACCAGUCAAGUGCUAGAAUCAAUGGCAUCUACUAAUCCCACUUCUCUCAAAGCUGCUGGCUUUAUUCUAAAAUUUGAAACUAUUAUUAUUAUUAUUAUUAUGGCUGUGAACUGGCUGAAUCAUUAGCAUAUCAGACAAAAUGCCAAGUGGCAUUUCUUUUGGGUUUUUAGAUUCUGAGUUCAAAUUUUGCCAAAGGGAACUUUAACUUUCAUUUUUUCAGGGUUGUGAAAUAAAGUACCAGUUGAGCCCUGGUACUUCCCACUCUCCUGAAAAUUGCUGGCCUUGUGCCAAAAUUAGAAUUUUAACAAUUUAUUCUUAUAAGCUAUUAUUCAUAUUAUAAAAGCUUAUUAUUUUUAAUUCUCUCACUAAAGCAGUUUUUGACUCGUUUAAUGUUUUAUUUAAGUUUGUGGAUGAGGAGUAGGGGCUGUAUAUAAUGUAUAGGCAUGGGUUCCACAAUCUUUUAAAAAGUCAUGUAAAUCCCAUGCCAGUGACAUGUCAAAACAGACAACUGGAGUCUGGACAGCUCUCUGGCUGGCCAACUCCUGUCGAACCAUCCAACCCAUGCUAGCAUGGAAAAUGGACAUUAAACAGGGAUGAUAAUGAUAUCAGGGUUCCAUGACAAAUAAUGUUGGCUAGCACUGGUAUAGAGACUUCCAUAAACUAUUGUUAAUAAUUCUUCAUAUUUGAAAAUAUUUCUAUUCUUCAAGGAUUAAAAUUCUACAAACAAAUAUCUGUAUUGUUCUCUUCAAUUUACGUAAUUAACGAAGUUAACCAUAAGUUUUUAGUUGGUGAGUUAAUUAUAAAUGACUUUGUUAGGAUUUUACUGAUAAUUGACCUUUUAAACUAUUGAACUUUGUGUUUAUUGUGGCAGCUAUCUUGUUUAAACAGAACAACCACAACCCAAGUCGAAACUGAAAUUCAAAUUAAUCUCUUUCUGUUUUUUUUUUAGGUUGUCAUUGAUUCCUUCAUUUAUUUUACAUUCCCACCCACCAUCUUUUUUUAUGUAUUUUCUUUUGUUUCUGGAAACAUACAGCUGGUAGGAUCAUUAAGUGGGAUGAGGGGCAACUUACCAACAGAAGGGUAGAUGGUUCAAGUACUACAGAACUUACUAAAUGUUUCACAUUAGUGACAAGCUGCUUUAAAAAAUGUUUUGUGGUACAUUAAAUUUUUUGGCAGUUUAAUAUUGAAUCAUGGCUCAUCAGUCACAUGUCUAGUUGUUAUCAGGUCUCCAAUAUAUUUUACUGCAGCCAAAUAUUUGUGAAAUUAUGAUCUGGUUUGUCUCAAUUUUGUAACUGUGUUACAAUACUAAAGUAUUGUAACACAGUGCAGAUAGCUCUGGUACGCUAAAAUUGAUAUACUGCACAGUUCAGUCCAUCUAGCUGUCGAUAUGCCCUACCAUGAGACAUAGUUCCUCUCUAGGUACAGUGUGGUACAGUCAAUGUUAGUGACCAGCAUUGUACUAAUUUUCAGCACUGCACUCAAAUUCUUUACUUUGGCAAAUCUGUGUUAGAUUGACUUCCCUUCUAUAUGAAGUGGUAUCUCCCUUCCACCAGUUAGCACUUUGAAAACUGGGAUCAGAUCCAGUACACUGCAGUCUAUUUUGAUAUUGCAGAUGUGAGCAAUAGGAAAACAACAACAAAAAGAAAGCUGUUGCUUAUGUAAAAUUUUACUUUACCAUUUCUAAUAUAUUUAUUCUUAGACUUCUUAUUCCUUGGCCUAUUUUAAGUAUAACACUGCCACUUAAUGUUUGUCUAUUAAGGAUGUUAGCUGCUUUUGCAGGCUGGCAUGAUAUUACUGCUAUUAGUCAUACUUAGCUUCUUUCAAUGUAAACUGUCAUUCAUCUACUUUCUUAGCUUUGGCAUUAGUGUAAUAAUCAUGUGUUAAUGUUAUCUAAUGAUGUAAUCAAUAAAUGUGAUUUAUUGUCUCUAUUUGUUGCCAUUAAGAAAUAUUUAGCUUGUUUAUUUGAAUAAAAAUUUUUAAGAAAUGACUACUAAACUUUCUGUAAUAUUUGUAUAACUCUUAAGUACCAACCUAUCUGAGGUCCCUAUUUCUUGUUUUAAAGUUUACGUGUUUAACCUUUUUAAUACUGUCCUGUCCAAGACUACCCCUUGUUCUGUGAUAAAGUGAUCUAAAAAAAAAAACCUUCCAUCAAUAUUUGAUGUUAAUUUAUGUUCCAAAUAACAGCUUAAUAAUGACAGUUAUUCUUAAUAAAUUCUUCAUGUAACAGAAGGCUUAAAUUAGACUUUCCACAAUAUUUUAAUGCAAAAAUCUUUAGAUACAUUCCAAACAAAAGGUUAAUAAGGAAUUGUAAAGUUAUUUUUGUAUAUCCCACCAAACUCUCGAUUACUUCCAAAGUGCAAUGUCAAUGUCUUACACUAGAAAUAUGAUUAAAUUUUGAAUUUGUAGACUUGAAAAUAUUUUUGUAUUUUGAUUUAAGUUAAGUGUUUAACUCAUUCAUGACACUAUUUUUAAAGAAAUACAUUAUUGCUAUGAAUUGAAUGAUUUUAAAAGUAAUUUGGGAUUUAGUAAACUAAUUAAACUAACAACAAAUUGUUACAAUGUUAGUAUUUUGAACAGAACUUUGUAAAAAUGUUUUUACAUAAAAUUACAAUGGAAGAUUUUUCAUUUAAAAAUGAACACUUUGUAAGUGGUGUGUUGUCACAGAAUCAAUCUAAAGCAGUCUCAGCAGGAAGUCAGUAUCAAAACUGAAGUAAAAGAUAUUAAUUUUUUUUUUAAUGGUUAUUAAAUACAAAAUAUUAAAACUUGCUGAAGUUUGUCUUUUACUGUGAUCAGUAAUUAUGACAGCAAUUUAUUUUAUGUGGCUCAUUUGAAGUAUAUGGCUUGCUUCUUGGAAUUUCAACUGCUGCUGUAGUUUUUCUUUGAUAAUCAUUGUAAAGUCUCUUGUCUGCUUGUGGAGAGAGAGAGAGGGGGGGAGAUUUAAGGAUUUGGAAUAGCUUUGCCUGUUACUCAAAUGAACUAGAUAAUCAUGGAAUCUCAGAUUUGUUGACUAUGUAAACCACACCCUUAAAAUUUAUUAAUUGAUUCCAGCUAGCAGAAGAAAGAAACUACUUUAGUGGAUUCUAUAAUAUACUAGUGCUGUUGAAUUCCAGUUGUUAUCCUCAAAGGAAUCUGAAAAUAGUUCUAAAGCAGGGAUUUCUUUUGUUUUUCGGUUUUUUUUUUUGUGACCGUCAUAUAAAUGUGUGAGUAACAAUAUUGCAAGCAUCAUUUAUCUUUCUCUAACAUCUCACUUUCUUCAUUAAUAUAAGAUGGAGAAACUAAAUUUCCUAGAUCUAAUUUGAUAGUAUGGUGUAUGAUAGAGGUUUUCUUUGCUACUUUCAGCUAUCAGCUCCUUCACAACACCACACCACCACUGUACACAUGCACUCUGUCCCAACCAUAUUACCACAACACAUUCAUGCACAUGCAAACCUAUGCAUAAAUAAGUGCUCAUUCAUACAUUAAUAUUGAUAAAUUAAAACCUAUUGUUUUGAUAUCAUUUACUUGUAUUUGAUGGCAUAUAAGGCCCACAAGCAUGUAAAACUCUUCACUCCUUGUGAUUUCAGCAGAGAAUAUAAAAAAAGAAUUCUUAGUGCAUUUAAGUAUGUAAUGUUUAUUGAUACAUGUAGCUACAGUAUAACAGGAAAAGACAUACAAACAAAAACUUGCAAAACAUGUAACAAAAAUCUUUUUUUAAUAAUAAAUAGAAAAAUAUAAAGUUUAACUCACAAAUAUAUACAAGAAGAGCAAUCAUUUACUAUGAAAAUAUAAAUAAAUUCAAUAAUAUGACAAAAUUAAAGGGUGGUGAGCUGGCAGAAUUGUUAGCAUGCCAGGCAAAAUGCUUAGCAAUAUUUCAUCUGCCAUUACAUUCUGAGUUCAAAUUCCAUCGGGUCGACUUUGCCUUUCAUCCUUUCGGGGUCAAUUAAAUAAGUACCAGUUAAACACUGGGGCCGAUGUAAUCAACUUAAUCUCUUUGUCUGUCCUUGUUUGUCCCCUCUAUGUUUAGCCUCCCUGUGGGCAAUAAAGAAAUAGAUAUGACAAAAGCACUUUAGCUAUUGCAUAAAGCAUUUCACACACAGCAAGUUAUGAUUAUAGUUCAACAGAAAACAGGAAAGCAGAUAAGAAUAGGCAUUUAGAAUGAAAAUAUCAUAGAAAGCAAUUUAGAAGAGAAAAAAAGCAACCAGUUCUGUUGCUCAUAUAUAAAAAAAAUAAAAGGAAGGCAAUAGAAAGUUUAUAAAAAUAUCUGUUCAGUAACAAAACAAAAAUGCUAGAAACUUUAAAGCUUAAUAAAAUUCUAAUAUUUUGUCUUUAUAAUGAAUGUUUUUGUAGGCAUUGGUAAAUUUUGCCUUUUUAAUGAACUGCUAACAUCAACUUUCUGUUCUUGUAAAACCCUGAAUUCAUUUUUUUUUUUUUUCCGUUAUAUUCCAAUCCCUUGACUUCAUUCACUCUCAACUUAUAUGACACAAUAUAGCAUGAUAUUGCAUCAGUUAGCCUGUCCUGAAAUACAUGAUAGGAUGAGUAUCAUACUAACCUUAUUUACAUUCAUUUUAAAGGAAACGAGGAAGUACUCUAAUGUAAGGAAGAAAUCUUUAAUCCCUUCUAUCAUUCAUUUCUGUUUUUUGAUUUGGAAAAUUUUCAACUGUUUCUUUUGCAAAAACACAUUUCCCUAUUUGUCUGCUUUCAUUGUUGCCCAAUUUUUUAAAUGAAUAUAGGGAUGGACAUCAGCAGUUACAUUUACCCUUUUUUAACUGUUUUGUGACCAACCUGUCUGAGACUGUCUCUGGUUCUAAGAGAUCUAAAUUGAAACCUCCCAUCAAAAUUUCAUGUUAAUUUGUUUCAAGCACCAUAUUCGUAAUGAUACUUAUCAAAAUAAAUUCAUUAUUUAAAAAAAAUAAUUGAAAAGCUAAGUGAAACUGUGGCCAUUAGAGCGCUGUACAAUGGAGACAAGCACAGUUUGAACAUGAAAAAACACAUUGUUUGCUUUAUCAUUUUCAUGUCAAAAUAAAUCGUUUCAAUGGAAAAUUAUAUAUCAUUUGAAAGUUUUGGAUGUGAAUUUUCUUCUCAUGUAGUUUUCAUUAAAAUCCGACAGUUACAUAUCAUGACAGCAUAUCUGGAAAGUUUGCUGCAAAUAUUUUUGCCUCAGGAUUUUGGGCUGUAGGAAAGUUCGCUGCAUAGGAAAUUUUUCCGUAGGAAAGUACGCUUUCCGUAGGAAAGCAAUCUAAAAGAUAUUUAAAAAAAAAAAAAAUUCUGCUUCAAUAAAAGGUAAAAUUAAUAUGCUAAUUUUUUUUGUUUUUGUACAUACCUGUGGUGUGUGUCACACUUAAGGAAGAGGUAAAGAGGUUGAAGAGAGAGGUACAAAGAAAAUGAGAAGUAAAACAUUAAGCAGAGGAGGUUUACUUGAAGUGAGUGGCAAAGCGGGAGAGAGGGGAGGGACAGAAGCAGAGGAAGUAUAGUUGAAGUGAGAGACAAAGCGGAGGGAGUGAGAGAGACAGGAGAUUGAUAGCGCUGAGAGAACAAGCAAGGAAACAUAAAGGAGAGGGGAAGGAGGAGGAAACGAGAGAGAUUUAAAGAGAUAGAUUGAGUGAAGGAAGGAAGUGGAUAGGGAAUAAUAGUGAAAGAGAAUGGAACCCAUUCUCAUACAGGAAAUGCUGGAAAACUUUUUGUUUUCAACAAUAUAUGAUAAAACUGUUGAAAAUAUGGAAAUUGCAAAAAGAAAUGUUGCUUAUCUGUCUGACAGUUAUUCUGUUUGUCUCUCUCUCUCUAACACACUCUCUGUCUCUCUCUCAGCAAAGGGCUGUGGAUGGUACUUUGCUACAGUUGAAGGGAGAGGUAGAAAGAAGAAAGAGAAAUAAAGAAUGUUAAGCAGAGGAGGUAUAGUUGAAGUGAGUAGCAGAGUAAGAAAGAAGAGGGACAAAGACGAAGAGAAAGAGUGUGUGUGAGAGAGAGAGAGAGAGAGAGAGAGAAACUGAUUGGUGACUGAAAGGAAGGUGGUGUUUGUUUUGUGCUUUUCAAUGUUUAUUAGUAUUUUCAGAGUGGACAGAUACAUAACCACAGCAAAUAUUGGCAGUUACUUUUACUUUUGUACAAUAUAAUUAAUUACCAUAUUCUUUAUACUGUGUCCUCGGCCAAUAUUGGAUAUUACUUUUCUACACUGUAAUUGGAUGUUACUUUUAAAGAUACUUAUGUUUUCUGUAUUUUAUAAAAUUUCCCAGGGUCUCACUUACACAUAGAUAUUUGAUACUUAUUAAACGAAGACACUGUUUACAGAUGCUUACAUUUUUUGUUUUCUAUGAAGUUUUGACGAGUUCAGCUAGUACAAUAUGAAUAUAACAUUUACAAAGAACGAAAAGAAAACAAAAAACAGUUAAAUCUAAAAUAGAAUUAUAAAAGCAUUAUAUAUAUAUAUACAUAUAUAAACACAUAUAUACACAUAUAUAUACAUAUAUAUACAUAUAUAUAUAUAUGUACACACAUAUAUAUACAUAUAUAUACACAUAUAUAUACAUAUAUAUACAUAUAUAUAUAUAUAUAUAUAUAUAUAUAUAAAAGGGGUAAAGACCCCCUUCGGUCAUGAAUGACCAUGGGAUUGCACCUAGAAAGUUACCCUCCUAGACACAAGUCCGGGCAAGGUUGUUUAUGGAAGGCUAGCAGUCGCCCAUGCAUACCAGCCUCCCCUCUCCACGCCACCAGUGUUAUCCAAGGGAAAGGCAAAGGGCCCGAUACAGCUUGGCACCUGUGACGUCGCAACUCAAUUCUACAGCUGAGUGAACUGGAGCAACGUGAAAUAAAGUGCCUUGCUCAAGAACACAACACGCAGCCCGGUCCGGGAUUCGAGCUCACAACCUCACGAUCGUAAGCUCGACGCUCUAACCACUGAGCCAUAUAUAUACGCAUAUAUAUAUAUAUAUAUAUAUAUAUAUAUAUAUAUAUAUAUAUAUAUAUAUAUAUAUAUAUAUAUAUAUACGCAUAUAUAUAUAUAUAUAUAUACGCAUAUGAUUGAUUGAUUCCAGUUUCAGCUCAUGAGCUGUGGCCAUGCUGGGGCACCGCCAUUUGGUGUUGCUACUCAGUUUUACUUCACGAAAGCUUUUUAGCAACUGCCAUUUGGUGCAUGAGAGAGUUCGAUGCAGCUGCCAUCAUCUGCACCUCCUGCCGUGAAGUUGGUUCAUCUGGGAUACCUGACAGGAAGAGAUCCAGUUUCAUUUUAAAGACAUCUGCGUCCACCCCAUGCAGGUCUCUUAGGUUCUUCAGGAGGAUAUUGAAGAGCUGUGGGCCUCGGAAGCCCAGGCUAUCACAGUAUCUUGUCCUACAUCUUGAUGGCAACUUUGGAGUCCUAGGCACCACGCUGUGGUGCCCAGUUCUGGCAUUUGUGUAACUCUCGAUGCCAAAGUUUGGGACAAGUCCCUCCAGGAUCUUCCAGAUGUAUAUUAUGGCAUAUCUUUCCCACCUACGCUCCAAGGAAUAUAGUUUUAGUCUCUUGAGUCUUUCCCAGUAGCUUAUAUUCUGCAUAGAGGCUAUCUUCUUCGUGUAGCUACGUUGGAUCGCCUCAGGUUCUGUGAUCAACUUGACACUGGAUGGUGACCAUAACUGAGAGCAAUAGUCAAAGUGGCUUAGGACAAGUGUCCUCCAGAGGACCAUCAUGGUUUCUUGCUCUCUUGUUCUAAAGGUUCUGAGAAUCCAUCCGGCCAGUCAUCUACAUUUCAUUGCCAAUUUAGCAACAUGUACAUGAACGGUUGCGUCAUCACUCAUGUAAAUACCCAGGUCACGCACUGAUUGUGUCUCUGGGAUUGCAAUUCCUCCGGGUCCAGUGUAUUCAUUGGGUAUUGCAUUUGGUUUUGCAUGCUGAUAGUAUAAAGCUUGAAACUUUUCAGCAUUGAACUGCAUGCUAUUCUUUUCAGCCCACUUGUAUAUUUUGUCCAGCUCACAUUGCAGGCGUUUAAUGUCCUCAGGGUUCUGUAUUGCCUGUGAAACUUUUGUAUCAUCUGCAUAACUUGUGAUCGUGGCUCUCUGCGUGGCUGAGGGCAUGUCUGAGAGGGCCAUUAUGAACAGUAGUGGUCCCAAGACAGUGCCCUGCGGAACACCGCUCACUAUUUGCGUGUUAAUGGAAGUGGCUACUACCACCUGACUUCUAUCUUUCAGAAAGUCAUGAAGCCAUUCUCCCAGUUUUCCAACUAUGUUGAGAUCACGCAGUUUGUGACAUAUCAUUCCAUGAUUGACUUUAUCAAAGGCCUUUGCAAAGUCGAGAUAUAUCACUUCAACAUUUGAGUGGUUGAGCAGUCGUUUCAGCACCCAGUCAUAGUGUUGUAGGAGCUGAGUUAAACAGCUUCUCCCUGGUCGGAAACCAUGUUGGGUGUCGGGCAGCAAGUCAUUUUCUUCAAGGAAGGUGAUCAGUUUCCUUCUGACUAUUCGUUCCAUGACCUUGCUGAUGUGUGAGGUCAGAGAGAUAGGUCUGUAGUUCUUGGCCUCCGCUCUGCUACCUCCUUUAUGAAUAGGGCAUUUUUACCUUCCUUCAGUUUUCUUGGAAGUUUGCCAGCUGCAAGGAAGCUCUGAAAGAGGAACUGCAGUGGUCUUGCUAGGACUCUCUUACAUACUUUUAGGAGGAUUGCCGGGAAUCCAUCGGGGCCAGUAGCUGAGUCUGUUUUCAUUUCAUCUAUAGCCUUUAUUACAUCGUCUUCCUUUACAUCGAUGUAGUCUAUCGUCGCCACCUCUGAUUUUAUAUCUGCAGUGGUAAAGAAGUCAGUUGGAUUGGUGAUUUGGAAAUGCCCAAGGGGUGGAGUGAAAACACUCUUGAAUUGCUCAUUCAGUAUUUCACUUACCCUCAUUGGUUUUCCUGUGAGUGUGCCAUCCUUUUCAACGAGUGGCCCUAUCCUACAGUGCAUAUAUAUAUAUAUAUAUGUACAUAUAUAUAUAUGUAUAUGUAUAUAUGUAUAUAUAUGUAUAUAUAUGUAUAUAUGUAUAUAUAUAUAUAUAAGGAAAAAAUUUUUUAAAAAUGCAGAAUGCUCAAAUGAAAGAAAAUUUUAAUAAAAUGAGAAAUUGAUAAAAUAUAUAAAUAUAUAUUUAUUCAACCGGUUUUCGUCAUUGUAUGACUUAUCAAGAAUAUAUAUGUAUAUAUAUAUGUAUAUAUGUGUAUAUAUGUGUAUAUAUAUGUAUAUAUAUGUAUAUGUAUGUGUAUAUAUAUGUGUGUAUAUAUGUAUAUAUAUAUGUGUAUAUAUGUAUGUGUAUAUAUGUGUGUAUAUAUGUGUAUAUAUAUGUGUGUAUAUAUGUGUAUAUGUGUGUAUAUAUGUGUGUAUAUAUAUGUGUAUAUAUAUGUAUAUAUAUGUGUAUAUAUGUGUAUAUAUAUGUAUAUAUAUGUAUAUAUAUGUAUACAUAUGUAUAUAUGUGUAUAUAUAUGUGUAUAUAUAUGUGUAUAUAUAUGUGUAUAUAUAUGUAUAUAUAUGUGUAUAUAUAUGUAUAUAUAUAUGUAUAUAUGUGUAUAUAUAUGUGUAUAUAUGUGUAUAUAUGUGUAUAUAUAUAUGUAUAUAUAUGUAUAUAUAUGUACAUAUAUGUAUAUAUGUGUAUAUAUAUGUACAUAUAUGUAUAUAUGUGUAUAUAUGUGUAUAUAUAUAUGUAUAUAUAUGUAUAUAUAUGUAUAUAUAUGUAUAUAUAUGUACAUAUAUGUACAUAUAUGUACAUAUAUGUAUAUAUAUGUACAUAUAUGUAUAUAUAUGUAUAUAUAUGUACAUAUAUGUAUAUAUAUGUACAUAUAUGUAUAUAUAUGUACAUAUAUGUAUAUAUAUGUACAUAUAUGUAUAUAUAUAUGUACAUAUAUGUAUAUAUAUAUGUACAUAUAUGUAUAUAUAUAUGUACAUAUAUGUAUAUAUAUAUGUACAUAUAUGUAUAUAUAUAUGUACAUAUAUG